rnacentral:rRNA from 1 species
GAUGAACGCUGGCGGCGUGCCUAAUACAUGCAAGUCGAGCGAACAGAUGAGGAGCUUGCUCCUCUGACGUUAGCGGCGGACGGGUGAGUAACACGUGGAUAACCUACCUAUAAGACUGGGAUAACUUCGGGAAACCGGAGCUAAUACCGGAUAAUAUAUUGAACCGCAUGGUUCAAUAGUGAAAGACGGUUUGCUGUCACUUAUAGAUGGAUCCGCGCCGCAUUAGCUAGUUGGUAAGGUAACGGCUUACCAAGGCGACGAUGCGUAGCCGACCUGAGAGGGUGAUCGGCCACACUGGAACUGAGACACGGUCCAGACUCCUACGGGAGGCAGCAGUAGGGAAUCUUCCGCAAUGGGCGAAAGCCUGACGGAGCAACGCCGCGUGAGUGAUGAAGGUCUUCGGAUCGUAAAACUCUGUUAUUAGGGAAGAACAAAUGUGUAAGUAACUAUGCACGUCUUGACGGUACCUAAUCAGAAAGCCACGGCUAACUACGUG